UACAGAGGGUGCGAGCGUUAAUCGGAAUUACUGGGCGUAAAGCGCGCGUAGGCGGCUUUUCAAGUCGAUUGUGAAAUCCCCGGGCUUAACCUGGGAACUGCAGUCGAGACUGUCUAGCUAGAGUGCGGAAGAGGCGAGUGGGAAUUCCUGGUGUAGCGGUGAAAUGCGCAGAUAUCAGGAGGAACACCUAUUGCGAAGGCAGCUCGCUGGGACGUAACUGACGCUGAGACGCGAAAGCGUGGGGAGCAAACAGG
rnacentral:rRNA from 1 species